rnacentral:rRNA from 1 species
UACAGAGGGUGCAAGCGUUGUUCGGAAUCAUUGGGCGUAAAGGGCGUGCAGGUGGUCUGUUAAGUCUGGCGUGAAAGCUCCUGGCUAAACCGGGAGAGGUCGUUGGAUACUGGCGAACUAGAGGACGGUAGAGGCGUGUGGAAUUCCGGGUGUAGUGGUGAAAUGCGUAGAGAUCCGGAGGAACACCAGUGGCGAAGGCGACACGCUGGGCCGUACCUGACACUGAUACGCGACAGCAUGGGGAGCGAACGGG